rnacentral:rRNA from 1 species
AUGUCUGACGAGUUGGACCCGAAGUCAGUGGCUCCUCCUUCACAACUCGGUUCUCACACGGACCUCUUUGCGGAACCGAGUGCCCGCCGCCUCGGCGGCCCUCCACCGCGACCCGCGAGGACCUCCUCCACACCGCCUUACGCGCCCCCCGAGGGCUCCGACACCUCCGUGAAAUCCCUCCUCGCCUCUCUCCUCCUGCCCCCCUCUGAGCCCCCGACGAGCGGGGCCGGGACCGGCAAGGAGGCCGUGGACCUGCUCCUCUUCUGCGCCGCCGCCCGCGCGGCCUCCGCAGAGGCCCCCGCGCUGCACUGGGUCCCGGAGGGGCUCUCCAAGGCGGCCGCCGCAGCCAUGGAGGAGAUGGCGGCGACGGGCGGGUGGACCGGCAUCGGGGAGAUGUUGGUGGCCAUGAUGCCGGAGACGGUGCCGCCACUGAAGGCCGUGCUGAAGGACACGGGCGUGGACGCCAAUGAUGACAUGAUGAUGAUUGGCGCCGUGAAGCCGCCCAAGGAGCACGCCUUUGUCGCCGCGCACCAGUUCCGCUGGCUGUUGUCUCAGGUUUGUGCUCAUGAUAGUUAUACAAGCGUUCUUAUGAUGUUGUAG